AUUGAACGCUGGCGGCAGGCCUAACACAUGCAAGUCGAACGGUAACAGGAAGAAGCUUGCUUCUUUGCUGACGAGUGGCGGACGGGCGAGUAAUGUCUGGGAAACUGCCUGAUGGAGGGGGAUAACUACUGGAAACGGUAGCUAAUACCGCAUAACGUCGCAAGACCAAAAAGGGGGACCUUCGGGCCUCUUGCCAUCGGAUGUGCCCAGAUGGGAUUAGCUAGUAGGUGGGGUAACGGCUCACCUAGGCGACGAUCCCUAGCUGGUCUGAGAGGAUGACCAGCCACACUGGAACUGAGACACGGUCCAGACUCCUACGGGAGGCAGCAGUGGGGAAUAUUGCACAAAGGGCGCAAGCCUGAUGCAGCCAUGCCGCGUGUAUGAAGAAGGCCUUCGGGUUGUAAAGUACUUUCAGCGGGGAGGAAGGGAGUAAAGUUAAUACCUUUGCUCAUUGACGUUACCCGCAGAAGAAGCACCGGCUAACUCCGUG
rnacentral:rRNA from 1 species